rnacentral:rRNA from 1 species
UACGUAGGUGGCAAGCGUUAUCCGGAUUUACUGGGCGUAAAGCGCACGCAGGUGGUCAUUUAAGUCUGACGUGAAAGCUCUUGGCUUAACUGGGAGAGGUCGUUGGAAACUAGAUGGCUUGAGGCAAUGAGAGGGGUGUAGAAUUCCUGGUGUAGUGGUGGAAUGCGUAGAUAUCAGGAGGAAUACCAGUGGCGAAAGCGGCACCCUGGCAUUGGCCUGACGCUCAUGUGCGAAAGCGUGGGGAGCGAACGGG